UAGCUUUCUGCUUCAAAAGCACAUCUCGCAUCUCAGCCGCAUCAACCUGAGAAGGCACACCUUCAGGCCUGUAGUAGCCCGUGACAGGGUCAGGUCCCCAAGACCUAUUCACCUGCGCCACCUCUUCUCCGCUUUUCUUCGACAUCAUGGCUCCACCGCUCCUCAUCACACUCCCGCUCGUCAACGCGUAUCCUCUCUUGCUCGCAACGCAUACUUGCUCCACAACGAAAGCAGAGAUCAAUUUAACGUUGCAUAGAGAUGCAGGCGCCAUCAAAGAAGUGCAAAUAAAUAGAAGACGAACUCGAAAAUGUGUUUCGGCUUCCUGAAUAUUUAAGAGAUAUUCAAGAAGUAGUAGUAGCUUAUUGUGAAUGGUUUAUGUUGAGUGUUGUGUGUGCGGGUAUAUAUAGAGUUUUGGAAAGCAGAGAAAGGCAGAGGAUCCUUCGUGAGUUAAAAACUCAGUAUGCGUUAUACGCGUUUAUUAGGUCGGCCAGCUGGAUUAUUGUGGUAAAAUGCAAGGUUAAUAAAGGGACAAGGGUUAUGUUUUGGAAGAGUCAGAGCCAUAGAAAGUGGACUAAGUAGUAAAGGGACAUUUGUCAUUUGAGGCUAUUGGAAGGGUCAUUUUUGGCUUUGGCCUUUGUUCAGUUGCCAACUUGCUUCCUCUAAUAUUUGAGACUAUUAGAUAUACAUUGCAUCUUUCAGUUUAAGAGUGUCGUGGGCCUUUGAUAUUUAGUAACGGUUCGGUUUAUUAAUUUUAUGAAAACAUUAUUUGAAAAGCGAGUAUCGGGAUUAAUUGAUUAUCGUACGGUGAUUAAUCAGAAUGAUAAGUCGGAACCUUAAUCAAGUAUAUUACAAUUAUGUGAUAAAAUUUAAUUUAUUAACUUUAUGAUAUUAAAUUUAGAAAAAUAUAUUAUGAUUAAUCGGAUUGAAAAAUUAUAUCAGUUGAAAAAUUAUAUCAGUAAAAUUAUUGUUAAUAAUUGAGUCACAAAUCGGACAGCAUAUAAUAAUAAUUGGGCAGCAUUCGUAUACGUACUGUCAUUGUGUAUUCAAUUAUUGCACCCUUCACCCAGCAUAUCUUUUUUUUAUAUAUUGUCUGUGCGAUUACAUGUCUUCUGUUUAUCAGAAGUUUCUGGAUUCGUUAUUACAUUUAACUAAGUCGUCAUAUAUGUUAGUAAAAUAUUGUAUUCGUGGCAGCGAUAUGAACAGGUGGCGUUUCCUGAGCUUGCCAAACUUGCAUUGUGGUUUGUGACUACGAUUCUUUAACAACUCCUCUGCGAUGAGUAUUUGACGUGCUUUAACAUCUCAUAUCUUUUGUUAUGUUUUGGAGGGAAGAAUGGAAGUGAACUUAUAGAAUUAAAAUAAAAUACUAAAUUAGAGAUAAUAGAGAAAUUUUAAAAAAAAGGUAGAUUUAAAAUUAUUAUGAUGAAAUUUUGAGAAGAAACUUGAUAUAAAGUAGAAUAAAGCAUUUGUUAAUUGAGAGUGUGAAUUUUCAUAUAAUUUUAUAAUUGGUUAAGGAAUAGAAUGAAUGAGAAAUAAAAAUUUUAAAUAAUUAUUCAUAACAUAAUCCAAAUUUGAUUUUCUAAAUUCAUUCAUCCCAAUUUCCAAUCAAAUAUAAUAUCGAUGAAUCUCAUUUUUGUGGACAAUUUAAUCUGUCUGCAGAGAAUAGUAGAUACGGUGGGAUCAACAGCAUUUGGUCCAUCUUUAUAUUCUUUCACUUUUCUUUAAGCCUAUUAAUCUAUAGAAGAUGCGCUCUAACAUUUUUUUGUCCAAUAAGAAUAAACAAAGCCGGUAUCGCAAUUGUUUUGUACAUCCAACUAUCCAAGUAUCCAACUCUCCACUGAUACUUACGGCUCUUUAUUUGCUUUAUUCUGAUUCAGUAAGCAGAGAAUAAAUAUAUGCUAUGUAUACUAAGGUUGUAUAUUAGAAGUGAUUUCUAGGUUCUAUAGUUGUGUGUAAUAUUUAUGUUAUGUUAUUAAUUCAUGUUUCUUAGCAUAUUAAAUUAAAUUUUUGUUUAUUCAUUAAUCAUGUGAUUAAUUUAAUUAAUUGUCAAUCAAUUCUUUUAUUAUGUGCUUCAUCCUACGACUGCACAAAACACCCUUAUUUCUGGCAAGCUCCUCUAAUUGAAAGAGAAUCCCAAACAGUUUUUAUUUUCGUGGCUUUUUAUUUAGUAGCUUACUUCUACGAAUUCAGCAUUGUUGAGAGUUUAAACCAAAUUCUUGAGAUCCUCACAUUUAGCAUUUAGACAGCUCAAUGACAAAAAAAACAGGAUGGAUCAGAAACUAUAUUAAAUUCGAGUAUAUUGAUACUUGGUUAUACUCACCUUGAUUUAAUUAUGUAUAUUGAAAUUAUAACCGAUUAUGCGGCUAAUUGUCAACAUAGACAAUGCUUAGAGUAUGUCUAAUUUAUAUUUACAAGCUGACAGCAACGUCCAACAACAACAUUUUUUUUUAUAUCUCUACAAUAUCUGUUUAUUUUUAAGAGUUAAUUGCAAUUGGCACCCCUUUAGUUUCAGCAUAAUGCGCAUUGCACCUAAUAGUUUUGGAAAAUACAUUUUGCAACCCCAGACUUUUAACCCGUAGCCACUUUGCGCCCUUUCCGUUAAUUUCUACCGUUACCGUUAACUUGUGCAGGGGCAAUGUGGGAAAUUUAAUUAUAUUUAAUUAAAAUCAGACCUUUAUUUAAAUUUUCUGACCAUCUAAGCGAUAUUUUUCGGAAAAACUUAAAGAACGAAAGUUGUAGAGGAUAAAAAGAUCUUUUUAGAACAAUAAGGUUCAAAAUUUAAAUAAUUAUUUAAAAAUGAUUGUUCAUUUUUACAAGAUUGCUAAUUUUUGAAUUUUUUUAGAAUAAUUAUAAAAAGAAUUACGAAAAUUUUGAACCUUAUAGUUCUAAGAAGAUCUUUUUAUUCUCUACAACUUUCGUUCUUUAAGCUUUUCCGAAAAAUAUCGUUUAGAUGGUAAGAUAAUUUAAAUAAAGGUCUAAUUUUAAUUAAAUAUAAUUAAAUUUCCCAAAAUGCCCCUGCAAAAGUUAACGGUAACGACAGAAAUUAACGGAAAUGGUGCAAAGUGUCUAUGGGUUAAAAGUCUGGGGUUGCAAAGUGUAUUUUUCAAAACUAUUAGGUGUAAUAUGCAUUAUGCUGAAAUUAAAGGGGUGCCAAUUGCAAUUAACUCUAUUUUUAAUGAUAGGAUAAAGCUAAGCUUUGAGGCUUCCAAAGGGCAAAAUUAAAUACAUUAAUCUUAUCCUCUGUUUGAUGAUCCGUUUGAUUCGGAUAAUAUAUAUGUUCACUUUAUUUUUCUUUUCGUUUUGAGGAUAAUGUUUUCUGAAUUAAUUUAUGUUUAAAUUUUAAAUAAUAUUAUAUAAUGUAUAGCUUAGAACUUACCGAGAAAGAUUGAUAAAAAAUAAAUAAUAAUACACUUUAUUUAUAACAAUCUAAAAUAAUAUAAUAAUAUACGAUUAAUUUUAAAACAUAAUCAAUAUAAUCAAUAACAAAUUUUAUGUAUGUACUCUUAUCCAAUUUAGUCACUAAUUUUAACUAAUCUCUCCAAUUACAUAAAUAUGGUUAACAUUUAAUGAAUAUGCAAUUAAAUUACGACAUAUAUUCCAUCGCGGAAGAAAUAAAGAAAGCAUAUUAUUACACUCUAAUGAGAUCUGUAACAUUCUUUAAUUGGUUGACCGUGCUCUAUUUGUUUGCAAUAUUGCAAUCACAGACAAUUUAUUAGUGCUGUUAUGCGGCUAAUUGUCGACAAAGGCCAUGUCUUGUAAACAUAAACAAUUUGAAUAGAAUUCAAAAUGUUCCGGGGGAUACUGCUCCCUAUUGUUGAGUGAUAUGACUAAAAGGAUAAAUAUCAAAUAAAUCACUUGUUUCAUCCAAAUGUAUCAAUUGAGUCACUGAUUCUCAAAUUGAUUCAAAUGAGACACUCAUUAGAAAAAUUUGUAUCAAAAAUAUCACUCUAUCGUUAGUCGAAAUUUUGAAAGUAUUAUAUAUCGAGUUUCGCACAUGUUUUAUGAAUAGUAUUUUAUCCAAAUGAAAGCUUCUGAAUUCUACUAUUUUCGCUAAUAUUUUCAGAUUUUUAAAAUUUUAUCAACUAUUUAUUUUUAAUUUUUUGAUUGUUUUAUUUGAUUUAAAUAAAAAAAAAUAGGAGAUAAACUUUUAAAAAUCUAAAAGUAUUAGCGAAAAUAGUAGACAUCAGAAUUUUUCAUUUGGAUGUAGUACCAUUCAUAAAAGAUGUGCGAAACUCAAUAUAUAAUACUUUCAAAAUUUCGACUAACGAUAGAGUGAUAUUUUUGAUACAAAUUUUUCUAAUGAGUGUCUCAUUUGAGUCAAUUUAGGAAUCAGUGACUCAAUUGAUACAUUUGGACGAAACGAGUAACCUACUUGAUAUUUAUCCCUAAACCUGAAUUAGGCUUUCUAAUAUAAUAUCAUGAUGUUAAAUCUAUACUAUUAUAUACUUAUAUAUAAUAAGCGUAAGGGAGAUAAUUUGGUCGCAUAGUCCUCUGGUCCAAAAGCUUAUCAUCCGUUGGAUCUUAUAUUGAACAAAUAAGCACCGUUAGAUUGGAAAAUUAACUUCUGUUCUACAAGACAACUGAUAUCACCUUGCAUAUUUAUAAUUCCUUUUCUGAAUCCAAAACAAAUUCUGUCUUUCACGUGUAUAUGAUUUUUUUAAUCCCAAAUAAAUAUUUCCUACCAGUUUUAUUCGUAGAAUCAUAUAAAUCUCACCGUCACAAUUUUUUUUAUAAUAUAUUUUAAAAUUAAUAAGCCGGAUUUAUGUGAUUAGCAAAUACAAAAACUUUUUCUUAAUCCAAAAUAGAUUCUACCUUCUUAUUGCAUGUUUAUGAUUCCUUUUCUUAAUUCAAAAACAAAUUAUGUUUAUCAAUUUUAAUUUAAAACCAUAUAAAUUUUUUGAAAAAUAUUUAAAUCAUAUUAUAUAUUUUUUUAUUUUUUUUUAACUUAGGAACCCGCAACCGCUACCCUUCGGGUCACGCAAGAGGAUACAUGUCCUCUCUUUGACCAGCUAAACCAACCCUUGCGGGCUAUUUAAAUCACACUAUAAUAAUUCUAAUAUAAAAUACAUUUAUAAAUAUAAUCUAAUAAGAGUUGGCAAUAACGUAUUCCACUCAAAAUAUAUUAAAAUUUGAUAGAAAGAAUUUAAUACUUUGGCAGGGUACAUACGAGAAAAGGAAUGGCUUCAUUACAAUAGUUUAUUUGAAGCCAUUAAUGGCUGUGAUGAUGUAUUUACCACAGUUCUAACUUACAAACAAAUUAUAAUUUCGAAUUUUAUUUUAUUGAAAAUUUUAAUUUAUUAUUUAUAAAUUAAAUUUCUUCACACCAUUUAAAAUAUAUUUAAGAAAUUUAUAAAUAAUUAAAAAGCUCCCGUGCCUUGCACGGGCUAUAAGCUAGUACUAUUAAAGCCGAAACAUUAAAAAUUUGGUCGGUCGGUACUUGGGCCAAAAUACGGGCAUAUCUAUAUAACUAAUUAUUCUUUUUAAUUUGGGUCAAAUUACGGGCCUAUCUAUAUAACCAAUUAAUAAUUCUUUUAAAAUUGUCGGUACUUGGGUCAAAAUACGAGCCUAUCUAUAUAACUAAUUAUUCUUUUUAAUUUGGGCCAAAUUACGGGCCUAUCUAUAUAACCAAUUAAUAAUUCUUUUAAAAUCGAAACAAUAAAAGUUUGGUAGGUCAGUGCUUGGGCCAAAAUACGGGUCUAUCUAUAUAACAAAUUAUUCUGGACCUAUCUAUAUAACCAAUUAUCUUUUUUAAUUGGUAAUCGAUAUAACCAAUUAAUCCUUUUAAUUGAAAUAUAUUACCUUUUUUAUAUUUCUAACUAAAAAACUUAAUCUUCUAAAAUAACAUUGAGAAACAUGGUAAUUACUUUUUUUAACUAAAAUAUAUUAUCUUUUCAUAAAUUUUCUAACUAAAAAAUUAAUCUUUUACAAUUAAUACGGACAUGGGCGACAUAUUUAUACGUAAAGAUGUGGGCCAAAAAUCUAAAUGUCAAAUAAUAAAAAAUAGAGGGAGUAUUAUUAUAUUGGUAGGGCGGUCGGUACUUGCACCGAAGUACGGGCCUAUCUAUAUAUAAAACCAAUUAUUCUUUUUAACUAAAAUAAAUUAACUUUAUAUAUUUAUUAGCUAAAAGAACUCAAUCUUCUAAAAUAAUAUCGAGCAACAUAGUAAUUGUCUUUUUAAUCAAAACACGUUAUCAUUUUUAGAUUUUCUAACUAAAAAAUCGAGUUUUUACAAUCAACACGGACGUCAUAUAUAUUAAAAUAUAAUAUCAUUAAAUAUAAUUAUUAAUAAAUAACAUGUCAUAUUAUUAAACCAAAAAUACAUUAAUAACAUUAUUUUUAAAUACUCUAAUGAUCUCACAUUAAAAGAAAUAUUACAAAUCUAUCAUAUACUAUAUAUUAUUACAAUAUUAAUAAAGCUGAAAUAAAAAGUUCACUUGGUCGGUCAGUUAGUAGAGUUGGUGAAUGGGUUGGUAUUCGACCCACGGAGCUCUUGAAUUUAUAACAUGUUAUAGUAUAUUUUUUAUCAUCUAUCAAACCAAAACAUUAAAUUCAAAUUAGUAUGAUGGGUCGGUAUUUGGUUUCAUGCGUCUCUUUAAACUAUAAUAUGUCUUAUACCAUAUUAUUAAUUAUUAAUAACGAAAUAUUAAAAAAGGUUGAUUGGUUAGUUUAUAUAUGAGUUUAUAGGCCUUCUUAAAUUAUAACAUGUAAAAAAAAAUAUUUUAACAUUCUCAUUAAAAUAUAUAUGUUCGACCUAAUAUUUAAUUAGCCAUUUGACGGACUUAACUAUGAAGAAUUUAUCCAACUGCUAAAUAAAAUAUUUAUUUAACCAUAUUAUUCUAUCAUAAUUUUAUUUUUACAAUAAAAUUAGAUAAAUUUAAGAUAUAUAAAAUAAAAUAACAAAUAUGUUAACCGCCCGUGCAUUGCACGGGUUAUAAGCUAGUAAUUUCUUUAAACGAGUAAGCCAUAUAAUGAAAUUACAUCAUUUUCUUAAAUAUCAAUAUCUACUGCUCAAAUAUCAAACUUAAGUGAGUUUUUCAUCCAUUCCAGUCUAAUCUAAUUUUUUUAAUCCAUUCCAAUUAAAGGAAGUUUGUAAGACUUGCGAGGACCUGCCAAACCAAACUCCCCGUGUCGAAAGUGGCAGGUGGCCAAAGGGAAUUGAUGAACCGAUACCAAUUAGCUCAAAAUAAUUUCUUUUCGGGCGUAAAUUUUUUUGGAUAUAUUCCUUUGCAGUUGAAUAUGUAAGAAAUAUUGACUCCAACAUAAAUUUUUGAAGCAAGACAAUAAUCAGAAAAGCAACAUAUAUUGAUCAUGUAAUACAAGGAAGAAAAUCACAAAUAUAAAGUGAAGCACUCCAUAUUUGCAUCCUUGAUUAUACUACGGUGAUUCGACAAUUAUAUUAUUUAUUUAGUUUCGUCUAGUUUUCGGCUUCAAAAGCAUCUCUCGCAUCUCAGCCGCAUCAACCUGAGAAGGAACGCCUUCAGGCCUGUAGUAGCCGGUGACAGGGUCCGGUCCCCAAGGCCUAUUCACCUGCGCCACCUCUUCUCCGCCCUUGUUCGACAUCAUGGCUCCGCCGCUCCUCACCACACUCCCGCUCGUCGACGCGUAUCCUCUCUUGCUCGCAACGCAUACUUGCUCUACGACGAAAGCAGAGAUGAGUUUCACGUUGCAUAGAGAUG
rnacentral:lncRNA from 1 species